ensembl:lncRNA
GGAAUACUCUAAAUCUAUUGCUACUGUGUUUGUGAGAUUUUAUUUCCCUAAUACAUGAAGAUGUGUUCGAGACCUCUUCACCAGAAUGUUUAUGAGCCUUAAAUGUAUGGACCAUGAACGCAUCUUUUGAAAUUGGGCACAGUCACUGAGAUUUUAGUGGCUGUUUAUUGAGGAGGGAUAUAAGGUUUUGCACUUUUUCCCCUAACUCUUGUCAGUUAUUUUGAUCUUUCUUCUCUACCUCUCUGUGUCAUCUCCAGAGGAUGUCCAGGGGUGGAAUGCAUCAAGUGAAGCAAGCAUCUACAAGAGUGUGCUUGAGGGAGGAGGAGGCUUCAGGCCCAUGUACGGUGACAUCCCGAAACACCUCUGGGCUCUCAGCCUGAUUUCUGGAUAUGAAAGAACAGGACAGCUUCAGAAAGCCUCUCUAGAAGACUUUUCCCAGUGUCAUAAGAAGCAAUGUGACUCACAACUUUGUGGUCACAACAAUGUGGUACAACUUUGUGUAGUAUCGGGUCCGUUGGCCCUAGGAGGAAGAACUUUGCAUCUUACGGAGAAGCCAGAGAGUAGGAUGACGGUGGAAUUAGAACCCUUUGGAGCAUCUCCCCAAGUGUGAACAGAUGAAGCCAGGACUGCCUGACACUGAGAGAGCUACAAGAGCCUCUUUUCCACAUCAUCUGUGGAGCUUCAAUCCUUCCAUAACUGUGUUAGAGAGCACCGCUGGGCCUCAGUUCCCUGCUGUGAAGCCACUGAUAGAGCAUCCUCCACGAUGUCAGUCUAACGGACCUUCCUGCACUCAAGGGCUAGUCCCAUUUGCUUCACAGUCUUCACAGAAGAGACUCCAGAGUACAGAGUGCAGAGAACUUGGUAUUUAGGCUGGAGAGAGGCUUCAGGGAUGGAGUAUGGGUUUGAGAAGCUUCACAUACAAAAUAGGAUUAAGAUGGCAGAGGAGCCUAGCUGUAGAGGGUUAGAUAAGGGCUGUAAGGAGAUGUGGGGGUUGCAGAGAGGUAGACUUAUGGCUAUAGAAGGGUAGGUAGCGGUUGUAGGGAGACGGGUGGGGGCUGCAGGAGUAUAGGUGCAGGCUGCAGGGGACUAGGCUGGGGGCCUACAGGGGGUGGCUGGUGGCUGCAGAGAAGUAGUCUGGAAAGAUCAGAGGAAUGAGACUGACUGCAAGGUCAAAGUCAAGGCGAAACCUACAGAAUCAGAUCACAAGGCCCUUGAAUUUGUCCUAUUACAUCAAAUCAAGGAGAGAGGCAGAAAGUGCACUGGCAGUGCUGUGAUGGAACACUUCACUCUUUCAACCAACAAAUUUUUACUGAGCAUUUGACAUUAGCCAGACUCGUUUAGAUACUGAGGUUUCAAGAGAAGCUGUAAAAGAAGUCAAUCAAUUAUAAAGGCAUUGUCUUUUAGUGACUUUAAGAUUUUUGCUCCCUUUCUUUAGAGCUCUGUGAAGCCCUUUCUCAUUAGCUAAGGGCUUAUCCUGUGUCAAAUAUUUUAUAUAUAUGAUGUCAUUCGAAUUUCUCCACCACUCUCUGAGAUAGGGGCUAUUAUUUUUGCAUUAUAAGUAAGAAAAUUGAGGCCCAGGGAGGUGACAGGAUUACCAGAGCUAGAUUCAAAAGACAAAAUUGGUACAAUUUUCUUCCCCUUAUGUCUACUUCUUCCUCUCCUCUCUUCCUCUCCCCUCCUCUCCUCUCUUCCUCUCCCCUCCUCUCCUCUCCCCUCUUCUCUUCUCUUCUCUUCUCUUCUCUCUCUCUGGUCUUUUUCACCAUUUGACAACAUUUUAUUAAUUUUUAUUUCUAAUCAAGUGAUUUAAGCAAAUAUUUAAAAACUCUAAUAGUUCUAAGCUUUACCAUGAAAAACAGUGUAUUCUUGCAUACCUUCUCUCAACUCUUUCUACUUUCCAGAGGCAACUACUUUUGAGGGUUGGCCAGUUCAAUUCUAAAUAACAGGUUAGUGGUAUUAUUUUUUGACGUGUUAAUUUUUGACAUUAUUAUUUUGUGGUCAUGAAGUUUUAGCUCUCUGCUGGUCAUUGUCUACCUCUUCCAGGUGUAUUCUUUUAUCCAGCCUAUCCCCAGGGAGGCUGACCUUUGUGGAUAAAGUGCACAGGCUCCCGAAUCUUUAGGCUUUGGGUUGCAUCUAGUUAAUGGAGGCAUCAGCAGGAGAUUGGAUUGGAGGGGGCAUGAAGGAUAAGACUCCUUCUCCUCUUCUGGCAGCCAGCCUUAUCUAUACAGUUGCUCUCUGAGGUUCUGAUAACUGUCCCUCCCCUUGCGCUUGAAUAUUCAGGCCUAGAAAUGGCAAUGACCUCCUGCUAUUGUUAGCUCAGGGGACUUCCCUAUCUUUGUUUUCCUAAGCCCUGUCCACACUUUGAAAAUAGUUUCUGUAUUACAGGUUGAUGCCAUGUACCCCUACCCCACCCCCCAUGGUAUGUUGUUUACUUCAUUAGUACAAUGUUUACAUUUUUAAACUAUGUAAAUAUUGCUGACUACACAGCCAAGUAGUGAGUUAUAAAUUAGGAUUACAUUUCUUUACUGAACAAAUUUUUGUUUUUACUGUACUUAAGCGUACUUUUUAAAAAAUGCCUUAGCUUUUGUAUGUCUGGCUUUAAUUCUUUCCACAUCUUCAUUGGUUUUGUUAAAUGCCCUUAAGUGUUGUUUUCCAAAGGCUCAAAUAUGAUCAGUUUUUAAUGAUUUUCUUGGGGGGAAGGGUAUAUCGAGUAAACCGGCCUUCAUAAUAAACAGAACUUGAUCCAUGCA